UACGAAGGGUGCAAGCGUUACUCGGAAUUACUGGGCGUAAAGGGUGCGUAGGUGGUCGUUUAAGUCCGUUGUGAAAUCCCUGGGCUCAACCUGGGAAUGGCAGUGGAUACUGGACGGCUAGAAUGCGGUAGAGGGUAGUGGAAUUCCUGGUGUAGCGGUGGAAUGCGCAGAUAUCAGGAGGAACACCGAUGGCGAAGGCAGAUCUCUGGGCCGUAACUGACGCUGAGGAGCGAAAGCGUGGGGAGCGAACAGG
rnacentral:rRNA from 1 species